GACGAACGCUGGCGGCGUGCUUAACACAUGCAAGUCGAACGGAAAGGCCCUGCUUUUGUGGGGUGCUCGAGUGGUGAACGGGUGAGUAACACGUGAGUAACCUGCCCUUGACUUUGGGUUAACUUCAGGAAACUGGGGCUAAUACCGGAUAGGAGCUCCUGCUGCAUGGUGGGGGUUGGAAAGUUUCGGCGGUUGGGGAUGGACUCGCGGCUUAUCAGCUUGUUGGUGGGGUAGUGGCUUACCAAGGCUUUGACGGGUAGCCGGCCUGAGAGGGUGACCGGCCACAUUGGGACUGAGAUACGGCCCAGACUCCUACGAGAGGCAGCAGUGGGGAAUAUUGCACAAUGGGCGGAAGCCUGAUGCAGCAACGCCGCGUGCGGGAUGACGGCCUUCGGGUUGUAAACCGCUUUCGCCUGUGACGAAGCGUGAGUGACGGUAAUGGGUAAAGAAGCACCGGCUAACUACGUG
rnacentral:rRNA from 1 species